UGGGGAAUAUUGCACAAUGGGCGCAAGCCUGAUGCAGCCAUGCCGCGUGUGUGAAGAAGGCCUUCGGGUUGUAAAGCACUUUCAGCGAGGAGGAAGGUGGUGAACUUAAUACGUUCAUCAAUUGACGUUACUCGCAGAAGAAGCACCGGCUAACUCCGUGCCAGCAGCCGCGGUAAUACGGAGGGUGCAAGCGUUAAUCGGAAUUACUGGGCGUAAAGCGCACGCAGGCGGUUUGCUAAGUCAGAUGUGAAAUCCCCGGGCUCAACCUGGGAACUGCAUUUGAAACUGGCAAGCUAGAGUCUCGUAGAGGGGGGUAGAAUUCCAGGUGUAGCGGUGAAAUGCGUAGAGAUCUGGAGGAAUACCGGUGGCGAAGGCGGCCCCCCUGGACGAAGACUGACGCUCAGGUGCGAAAGCGUGGGGCAGCAAACAGGAUUAGAUACCCUGGUAGUCCAGCGCUGUAAAACGAUGUCGAUUUGGAGGUUGUGCCCUUGAGGCGUGGCUUCCGGAGCUAACGCGUUAAAUCGACCGCCUGGGGAGUACGGCCGCAAGGUUAAAACUUAAAGGAAUUG
rnacentral:rRNA from 1 species